CGGCAACAGCUCAAAUUUGAAAUCUGGCUCUCGGGCCCGAGUUGUAAUUUGUAGAGGAUGCUUUUGACAAGGUGCCUUCCGAGUUCCCUGGAACGGGACGCCAUAGAGGGUGAGAGACCCGUCUGGUCGGAUACCGCGUCUCUGUAAAGCUCCUUCGAC
rnacentral:rRNA from 1 species